UUCUAAGUGAAGAUCUGGAUGUUGGAAAGGCUCUAUUCCUUUAAACAAACUAUUCAAUGUCACUGUUGUGUCCUUACAGAUAACAAUGACAGCAAUCAUAAUACCUUCAAUAGAGGAUUUGUGGGCAACCUUGCAGGAACUCCGCACUCCCCCAGGGGUCUGUAAGACAACAGAGCUUGCGAAAGGUAUUAAUGGCCAUGAGUUUGAGAUGAUAUUUCCUGAUAAGAACCUGGAAAACAGCUGUUCCAGCUAUUUCAAAAGAGAACAACAAAGAACUAUUUGUCUCUGAAGAAAUGAAACCCCCAGGUAAGCCAGCAACCAACAACUACACCAACAUCUGGGAGCCGCAUAAUCAAUUCUGUGCUUAGGCAGGGGAGAGCUCUGCACCCACAUUGAUUUUAAAAUGCAAAUCUGAAUACAGCUAAUCUUCACAUAAAUAUAAUAGGUAUCGCAUUGAUUUUUUUCCCUCGUGGUCAUAUGAACAAUUAACUAAAGUGAUGGUAAAGAAGCAGCAUAAUAUUAUUUGAAGGUAGAUGGUGGUAAGUUGCAUAUUAUAAUCUCUAAAGCAACCACCAACAGGAACACACACACACACACACACACACACACACACACAAUAAGGGAUAGCUACAAGCCAAUAGAGGAGAUAAAAUGGAAUACUAAACAAUAGUCAAUUUGGUCAAAAGAAGGCAAGAAAGGAGGAAGAGAGGGACAAAGAACAGUUGAGGCAAAUCCAAAACAAAGAUGGGAGACUUGAACCCAACCAUAUUAAAAGCUCCAGUUAGGAUGAUAGUAGAAAAUUCAUGAGAAAACUAUAAGUAACAAUGACACUGACCACCAUUUAACAUGUUUUUAUUUAUUAUUUUUUAAAAGAUUUAUUUAUUUAUGUGAAAGAGAGAGAAAAUCGAAGCAGGGGAAGGGACAGAGGGAGAGAGAAAGAAUCUCAGG